GGGGAGGUGGCUCAGUGGUAGAGUGCUUGCUUUGCAUGCAUGAGGCCCUCAUUCGAUUCCCCA
rfam:Dipodomys ordii ctg_broad_rename0000804, whole genome shotgun sequence.